UACGGGAGGGGUAAGCGUUGUUCGGAAUUACUGGGCGUAAAGGGCUCGUAGGCGGCCAACUAAGUCAGACGUGAAAUCCCUCGGCUUAACCGGGGAACUGCGUCUGAUACUGGAUGGCUUGAAUCCGGGAGAGGGAUGCGGAAUUCCAGGUGUAGCGGUGAAAUGCGUAGAUAUCUGGAGGAACACCGGUGGCGAAGGCGGCAUCCUGGACCGGCAUUGACGCUGAGGAGCGAAAGCCAGGGGAGCAAACGGG
rnacentral:rRNA from 1 species